CGUGGAGCAGGUAAGACGUGUGUGCGCGCUAAGAAGGGUGUUUGCCCACUGCCUUGUGCUGUUGCUACUGAAGGGAGAACCAAACCAGCGUAACCAAACCACCCACCCCCCAACCUGCGGCAGGAAGAGCUUUUCUUGCACUGGAAUACGCCAACUGUCUCGCUGCACCUUUCACGGAAGAAUUGGACCCUGCCUCGCACCAGCUCUGCCCUAAAGAACACAGUGUUGCCAUCCAGGGAGGAAGAGCUUUUCUUGCACUGGAAUACGCCAACUGUCUCGCUGCACCUUCACGGAAGAAUUGGACCCUGCCUCGCACCAACUCUGCCCUAAAGAACACGUGUUGCCAUCCAGGCAGAAGACAGAUUGCCAUGCUUCAUCUAACCUAACCUAACCAAUAAAUGUAGCCAAUCCCUCUUGUAAUAUUAUUCCUUCCAUCUGUGAAUGUACCCACAUAAGUGUAACGUUAUUAUUUCCUCCGUUCUGUAAUAUUAUUCCUUCCGUCUAAUGUGAAUGUACCCACAUUAAGUGUAACACUAUUAUUCCUUCCAUGUUCUGUGAGUUACCCACAUAACUGCUGUAAUGAAUCAAGGAAAUUGAUAAUAAAUCUAAGAAAUUUGA